rnacentral:rRNA from 1 species
GACGAACGCUGGCGGCGUGCCUAAUACAUGCAAGUCGAACGCAGUGGGGACGGGUGAGGAACCCGUGGGUAACCUCCCAUCAGAGGGGAUAACACUUGGAAACAGGUGCUAAACCGAUACUGAUGGAUGGCCCCGCGGUCCAUUAGCUAGUUGGGGAGGUAACGGCUCACCAAGGCCCCGAUUCAUAGGCGACCUGAGAGGGUGAUUGGCCACACUGGGACUGAGACACGGCCCAGACUCCUACGGGAGGCAGCAGUAGGAAAUCUUCGGAAAUGGACGAAAGUCUUACCGAGCAACGCCGCGUGAGUGAAGAAGGUUUUCGGAUCGUAAAACGCUGUUGUUAGAGAAGCGGUAUCUAACCAGAAAGCCACGGCUAACUACGUGCCAGCAGCCGCGGUAAUUC